GAUCCGAGGCCUUAUUUGGGCAUAUUGCUCUGCGCUAUAUGAGCAGAUGCACCACAAGAGUAAAUAAAACUCUCUCCUCCUGGUGUCUGGGUCCAGAUACUCUGAGGUCAGGAUACAGCCCUUUUAACCUUCACAUACACAGCACAGCAAGCACUGAGCACGGUGGAGGGGGCCUUCAGGUUAAACCGGUAGAAGCAAAGGGUCUCUAUUUUCCUGAAGUGUGACACCUCCUACAUGGAAACGAGGACAGGAUAAACUGGGGCAUCUGAAGUGACCUCUUCCGGGCAGGAUGUGGAAGUGUGAUGCGUCUCCUUAAGCAAGACCUUCCAAAAUGCUUAAUCUAAGUUAACAUCUGCCAUCUUCCUGACCUGAAUUCUGACAACACAAUUGCUAUGAAAUAUUGGUCUGAACUUAAAACCAGAAAUCCUGAGUGUAGGUUUCUGCCAAAUAGGUGCUAGUUAGAACCAGCUGCCUGAAGCGGAACUACUAAAUGCUUGAAGGUUGCCUCUGAUCUGAGCCGGUCUCUGACAGAGCCCUUUAAAAGGAGAAACUUCCAGUGCACAGACGACUCCAGGAUGGAUGAAGAUUUAUCUAUAGCCUGAUCAAUGGGUCAUUUCUCUUCUUGUUUAAUUUAUCAUUGGGUAGAUCCCAAACUUAAGCAGCAAUAAUGAACGAUAGCUAUAUUUAGAAACUUAAAGCAGUUGUCUUGGGAUUUAGAUGGUGGUGGGAAAGUGUAUGCGUUUGAGGGUGUGAAAGGAAAGGAAUGGGAUAUCAAUAAAUCCGAAGACUACAAUUAUAGAACACAAGUUUGGGAAAGAGGCCUUAACUAUGGGUGUAUGAUGGAAAUUGCAAGUCAAAACAGUCUCAAGGGCUCCCCUGGUGGCACAAUGGUUGAGAGUCCGCCUGCCGAUGCAGGG